GACGAACGCUGGCGGCGUGCCUAAUACAUGCAAGUCGAACGAGUGGCGGACGGGUGAGUAAUGCUUGGGAAUCUGGCUUAUGGAGGGGGAUAACGACGGGAAACUGUCGCUAAUACCGCGUACCAUAGGAUGAGCCCAAGUGGGAUUAGGUAGUUGGUGGGGUAAUGGCCUACCAAGCCGACGAUCUCUAGCUGGUCUGAGAGGAUGACCAGCCACACCGGGACUGAGACACGGCCCGGACUCCUACGGGAGGCAGCAGUGGGGAAUAUUGCGCAAUGGGGGCAACCUGACGCAGCCAUGCCGCGUGAAUGAAGAAGGCCUUCGGGUUGUAAAGUUCUUUCGGUGACGAGGCGUUAAUCACAGAAGAAGCACCGGCUAACUCCGUGCCAGCAGCCGCGGUAAUUC
rnacentral:rRNA from 1 species